AAGUCGUAACAAGGUUUCCGUAGGUGAACCUGCGGAAGGAUCAUUAGAAGGUUAUGCCGAAACCGUCCUCGCGGCGGCCGGCAGCCCUCCCAUCAUUCACCUUGUGCACGUAUCGAAAUCAUGCUUUGGCAGACUCUUUGGGCAAUUUUUUUGUUUUGGAGGGUCUGCCAGAGGAAAUUUCUAAUCAUGCCAUGACUUUGCCUGAUCUUUAUACGAAUAAUAAAUGAAACAACUUUCAACAACGGAUCUCUUGGCUCUC
rnacentral:misc_RNA from 1 species